UACGGAGGGUGCAAGCGUUAUCCGGAUUCACUGGGUUUAAAGGGUGCGUAGGCGGGCAUGUAAGUCCGUGGUGAAAUCUCCGAGCUUAACUCGGAAACUGCCAUGGAUACUAUGUGUCUUGAAUUGUUGUGGAGGUGAGCGGAAUAUGUCAUGUAGCGGUGAAAUGACUUAGAUAUGACAUAGAACACCAAAUUGCGAAGGCAGCUCACUACACAAAUAUUGACGCUGAGGCACGAAAGCGUGGGGAUCAAACAGG
rnacentral:rRNA from 1 species